AUCUAGAAGCGGAGCUUGGUAAAGAACCACCUGUUCUUGCCGGUCUUGAACCUCUCCUCAAGGCGCGCUUUGGCCGUCUUGCAGGCGGCGACCUUCUUGUCGUGGGUAGAGAGUGCGUCGGGCCCACCGGUGGCGACAUCCUUGAAAUCGACGUCGAGGGUGUAGCGGGUGGGCAUGAGGUGAGUGAAGUUGACGAGCUUGAUGAAGCACUUGACGCGCGACUUCUUCGCAGUCUUCUUGGCGGAGUCCUUGCGGAUCACCUUCUUUGGGUACUUGGCGAGGCCUGCGACGAGGCAGUGGCCAUAGGGGCGGUCGCGGGUGCCCUCCUCGAACACGCGCACGAUAACUGCCUUCCUGCCGGCGAAGCGGCCCUGGAGGAGGAUAACGGCCUUGCCGGGCUUGAGGAACUUCACCAUCUUCGGAUGCUGCUGCCGCUGCUGCGCCGCCGCCGCCGCCGCCGGGAGUGUAGGGUUUGGG
rnacentral:misc_RNA from 1 species